rnacentral:lncRNA from 1 species
GUGACUUCCAAAAUUGGCAUCGGGACAGAGCAGGGCUGGCGGGAGGCAGGCAAAAGACGGAAUUUUCCUGAAAAAACGGGGGGGACCAGGAUCUCAGGGGAGAGUAGCUGAGGGAUCCCCUGAGCUGAGUUCCUACAGAGGGAAGAUGGUCCAAUCUUACUACACUGUGAGCUCAUCCCCAUGGUCCGUCGCCUUCCAGUUGCCUGCUCAGC